GAUGAACGCUGGCGGCGUGCCUAAUACAUGCAAGUCGAGCGAACAGACGAGGAGCUUGCUCCUCUGACGUUAGCGGCGGACGGGUGAGUAACACGUGGAUAACCUACCUAUAAGACUGGGAUAACUUCGGGAAACCGGAGCUAAUACCGGAUAAUAUAUUGAACCGCAUGGUUCAAUAGUGAAAGACGGUUUUGCUGUCACUUAUAGAUGGAUCCGCGCCGCAUUAGCUAGUUGGUAAGGUAACGGCUUACCAAGGCAACGAUGCGUAGCCGACCUGAGAGGGUGAUCGGUCACACUGGAACUGAGACACGGUCCAGACUCCUACGGGAGGCAGCAGUAGGGAAUCUUCCGCAAUGGGCGAAAGCCUGACGGAGCAACGCCGCGUGAGUGAUGAAGGUCUUCGGAUCGUAAAACUCUGUUAUUAGGGAAGAACAAAUGUGUAUGUAACUAUGCACGUCUUGACGGUACCUAAUCAGAAAGCAACGGCUAACUACGUG
rnacentral:rRNA from 1 species